rnacentral:misc_RNA from 1 species
AAGUCGUAACAAGGUUUCCGUAGGUGAACCUGCGGAAGGAUCAUUAACGAGAUAGGGUCCUUCGGGGCCCGACCUCCAACCCAUUGUCUACCAUACCUCUGUUGCCUCGGUGGGCCGCCGGCCGUCCCCUUUACGGGGGGUGGCCGCCGUCGGUCUUCGCGGGUUUUCGAGCGCCCACCGAUGGGACUUAUAAACUCUUUUUUAAAACAAGUUUUCUGAGUGAGAAAUCAAUAGCAUUAAAACUUUUAACAACGGAUCUCUUGGUUCUG